AGUCACUGACAUUAGAUACCCCGGUAGUCCAGGGUGUAAACGCUGCAGACUUGGUGUUGGAAGCCCUUUGGUGGCAUUCAGUGCCGGAGAGAAGUUGUUAAGUCUGCUACUUGGGGAGUACGUCCGCAAGGAUGAAACUUAAAGGAAUUGGCGGGGGAGCACCGCAACGGGAGGAGCGUGCGGUUUAAUUGGAUUCAACACCGUAAACUCACCAGGGAAGACUGUUACAUGAAGGCCGAGAUGAAGACUCUGCUAGAUUUUCAG
rnacentral:rRNA from 1 species